UACGUAGGGUGCGAGCGUUGUCCGGAAUUAUUGGGCGUAAAGGGCUCGUAGGCGGUUUGUCGCGUCGGGAGUGAAAACUCAGGGCUUAACCCUGAGCCUGCUUCCGAUACGGGCAGACUAGAGUGAUGUAGGGGAGACUGGAACUCCUGGUGUAGCGGUGAAAUGCGCAGAUAUCAGGAGGAACACCGAUGGCGAAGGCAGGUCUCUGGGCAUUAACUGACGCUGAGGAGCGAAAGCAUGGGGAGCGAACAGG
rnacentral:rRNA from 1 species